UUUGGUCACAGUUAGUGCAUAAUUAUGAUUUUAUUUUUACCGGUUCAUCAGUUCACUUCUGUUCCCGUUUUAGCCACGAUUCUGCGGCAUUUUAGGUACUUUAACUUCAAUCUUCAACCUUUUUAUAUAAAUACCGCCCAUUUUUGGAGCAUGUAGCAUUCGAAUUAAAGUACAUCAUCCAAUAUCCUACGAUCCCUUAACAGGGAUUUUUCAUUUUUCUUUUUAACCCCCUCCUCUCUUUUGAGAGACGGAGUUUUAAUUUUAUCAUGGCGUUAUUUCACCGCCAUUGCAACUAUCUCAACAGGCUGCGAGAGUGAUUUUUUGUGCUGAGGAAUCUUUCAACAACUCAAGUUUGAUCAUGUCGUUUUCUAAUGAGGUUCUACCAGAUUUAUGAUUUUGGAAUGAGCAAACUUCAUUGCUCCUCGACUUAAAUAGUAUGCAAUGUUCCUGUUUUUUUCUAAGUUGGUCAUUUUGUAUGACAACGCUCGCCAUCCAUCGCCUGCGCCUCAGCCUUUCUAUUUCAUGUUUGACCAAUUUGGGCCGUCUCCAGAUCCUCUACCUGUCACCAUCGUAAAAAAAAAACUAAUGGCUUACCAUAUGGGUACUGAAUGCUGACCUGGAUGUUUUUGGAAUGCUCUUCGAUGUUUUUUCCUGUGUCUAUGUUAAGAAUGGAACUCUCUGAUACGUAGCAAAAAUAAAGAGAAUUCUUUUAGUGAACUUCUAAGUGUUUUUGUUGUGACUACUAAGGACUCUGUGAGAAUUUGGAUUUCUCUUUCCCCUUAGGAGUACCUCCAUUUUAUUGUGAUUGUGCUCACCCACAGAUAUCAAGGACCUCAAGGAAGCACCACAAGGAUCCGCAUCUCAUGAUAAAGGGGUAAGGGGCCGUUCCGGCCUCAGGCAUCCCGACCAAUCUACAGGACUAGGACUAGGACUUGAACAAGUUCAGCAUCCGAAAGCAUUUUAAUCGUUGACGUAAUGCAGAAACGUAGCGAUUUAUUCGACGUCCAAAAAGGCAUGAUUUUUGGCUUUCGAGCGAAGAGUGAAAGCAUUUCGGAAACGGCUAAUUUUGUGAGCUGUUCGCGUGCCACCAUGAUAAAAGUAUACCGUGCAUGGCAAAAUGGCACUAUCCAAAAUCAGUGGCUUGGCACAUGUGGUACUACGAUACGGGCUAUAGAUGACAGAGGCGAACGAAGGCUACGGAGAUGCGUUCGGGCGAAUAGACGUACAACUUGCAGCUCAGAUAAACCAAGGGGCUACCAAGAGUAAACCUAAUUGGCUCUCUUCCUGCACGUCUCGCAGCGGUCCGCUCUGCCAAAGUUGUUGGCUUUUGACAGGUGGUCACAAUAAUGUGACUGUACUGUGUAUUUCAAAAUACUUAUCUUUAAUGUUGAAA